rfam:Myotis brandtii contig195797, whole genome shotgun sequence.
GGUGGUUCUCUGGUGACACACCCUGGAAUCAGGCUCCCUUCUCUCUGGUUUCGGGUGUGUCACAGGAGAACUGCA